rnacentral:misc_RNA from 1 species
CCUUGCUGAUUGCUUUUUGUAAAAUUGAGGCAUUUUUUUAGAACAUCCAGCUGUUCUUUGAUUCUGGACUGGAUGAUGUUUUGUAGAAUCUGCUAGCGGAUCUCUUGAGGAAGACCAUUGAGAACUUGUUGCCUGAAUUUCUUCGAAAGACAACGGGUUUGGAAAUGUUCUAAGGACCUAUUGGCACCAAGUGAAGUAAAAAGGACUUCACUUUGGUGAUAAUUUUUCACAUUAACCAGUGGGGCCAAUGGUAAUUUUACACUAGAAUCCAGUGGGGAUCCUAGGCCUUCA